UACGGAGGGUGCAAGCGUUAUCCGGAUUCACUGGGUUUAAAGGGUGCGUAGGUGGGUUGGUAAGUCUGUGGUGAAAUCUCCGAGCUUAACUUGGAAACUGCCAUUGAUACUAUCAAUCUUGAAUAUUGUGGAGGUCAGCGGAAUAUGUCAUGUAGCGGUGAAAUGCUUAGAUAUGACAUAGAACACCAAUUGCGAAGGCAGCUGGCUACACAAAUAUUGACACUGAGGCACGAAAGCGUGGGGAGCAAACAGG
rnacentral:rRNA from 1 species